UAGGAGCAGCAUUUCAACUGCCAAGCACUGGUACUUUUAUUUCUCUGCCAAGAAAUGCCCCUAAUGAGGAGCACAGAAAUUAAAGACAGCUCUGAAGAUCUAAAUAAUAGACUCCCACAGGAAAUCCUGAGGAGUACAUGUCUCUGGCAUGUUUUAUCUUAGAUAGUCCCAUCCUUGCGGUAUUGCGUGCUGAUAGCAGGACAGAAGAGUACCUUUGAAAAUCUCUAGUCUUUAUAGAAGCUGCGGAUGACAACAAGCAGGACCUUCAACACUCUGGGAAGACAAUCCAUCUACUUUCUUUAGUUAUCAUUAAAAUGUCUUUUAGACAUAGGUCAUAACUGGAAACCUAUAAAGGAUGUCUGUGUAUUAGGCACUUCCCACAAAGCCCAGUCCCUUGCGAUUAAAAUUUAUCACAUUGUUCUUCUGGUUACAAAUACUGCUGAUAUGUGUCAUUACUGCAGAGCACUGCUCAUAACAUUUUGACUUUACUCCAAACAUUUUUUUUAAUUCUGAGUUUCCCAUAAAGAACCUACUCCUGAAGUUUUUAAAGGCACCCGUUACUUUCAAGUUUUUAAGCCUGUUUUAAAGGUUGUUAACUAUUUUAUUUUUCUGUUAAAUAUUCACUUACACUGACAAAUAGCUUGAUGGGAAGCCUCAUGUUCCCCUCUGUGUUCCCUAGGAUGUAGCAAAGAGCAUAAAAUCAUAUAGACUUAUCAGUUUAUAUGGCAGUUUGUAAAUACUCCAUCUUCUUAAAAGCUCUGUGUUGACUGAG